AUUGAACGCUGGCGGCAUGCCUUACACAUGCAAGUCGAACGGCAGCACGGGAGCAAUCCUGGUGGCGAGUGGCGAACGGGCGAGUAAUAUAUCGGAACGUGCCUAGUCGUGGGGGAUAACGCAGCGAAAUCUGUGCUAAUACCGCAUACGAUCUAAGGAUGAAAGCGGGGGAUCGCAAGACCCCGCGCGACUGGAGCGGCCGAUAUCAGAUUAGCUAGUUGGUGGGGUAAAGGCCCACCAAGGCGACGAUCUGUAGCUGGUCUGAGAGGACGACCAGCCACACUGGAACUGAGACACGGUCCAGACUCCUACGGGAGGCAGCAGUGGGGAAUUUUGGACAAUGGGCGCAAGACUGAUCCAGCAAUGCCGAGCGCAGGAUGAAGGCCUUCGGGUUGUAAACUGCUUUUGUACGGAACGAAACGGCCCUUUCUAAUACGGGGGGCUAAUGACGGUACCGUAAGAAUAAGCACCGGCUAACUACGUGCCAGCCGCCGCGGUAAAAC
rnacentral:rRNA from 1 species